rnacentral:rRNA from 1 species
UCGCUCUUCAACGAGGAAUCCCUAGUAAGCGUAAGUCAUCAGCUUGCGUUGAUUACGUCCCUGCCCUUUGUACACACCGCCCGUCGCUACUACCGAUUGAAUGGCUUAGUGAGGUCUUCGGAUCGGCGAUUGAUGAGUAGCAAUAUUCGCCGAUUGCUGAGAAGUUGUUCAAACUUGGUCAUUUAGAGGAAGUAAAAGUCGUAACAAGGUUUCCGUAGGUGAACCUGCGGAAGGAUCAUUAAUGAUUUUUUAAGCGAAACCGAGCGAAAGCGAGGUUUUUGCGAAUAUAUUUAAAACCCCACUCUUAAAAAAAUUUUAUCAUUCAUAAAUGUGAAUAAAAAAGAUCACUUUCAACAACGGAUCUCUUGGCUCUCGCAUCGAUGAAGAACGCAGCGAAAUGCGAUAAGUAGUGUGAAUUGCAGAAGUACCGUGAAUCAUCGAAUCUUUGAACGCAAAUUGCACUCUCUGGUAUUCCGGGGAGUAUGCCUGUUUGAGGGUCGCCUAACAAACCAUCGAUUUCGUUGCUUUUUUUUUUAAAAGGGUAAUGUUUAUCAGAUUUGAGCCGUCUUUUUUUUUUAUAUUUAAGUGGCUUAAAAUUGAUUUUUUUGGUAUGAUCGAAGCGUAUUUUAUGAUCAAUUUUUUGGUUAAAGAAACGCACACGCGUACCGUUAUUUGUAUGAUGUAAUACGUUUGACUAUUGGAUUUAGUUCAUUCGUAUACGAUAUUUUUCAAUAAUUUGACCUCAAAUCAGGUAAGAACACCCGCUGAACUUAAGCAUAUCAAUAAGCGGAGGAAAAGAAAAUAACAAUGAUUCCCCUAGUAACGGCGAGUGAAGAGAGAUAAGCUCAAUUUUUAAAUCUGAUGGGUUUCUUAUCGGAAUUGUAGUUUGAAGAAACGUUUUCUGCGUCUUGUUAACCCAAAUCUUUUGGAACAAGGUAUCAUGGAGGGUGACAAUCCCGUUCAUGGUUAACGUCAAGAUGCGUUACGAUACGUUUUCAAAGAGUCGAGUUGUUUGGGAUUGCAGCUCAAAAUGGGAGGUAAAUUUCUCCUAAAGCUAAAUAUUGGCGAGAGACCGAUAGCGAACAAGUACCGUGAGGGAAAGAUGAAAAGAACUUUGAAAAGAGAGUUAAACAGUACGUGAAAUUGUUGAAAGGGAAACGAUUGAAGUCAGUCGUGCUGGCGCGAAAUCAGCUUGACCACUAGGUGAUCACAAGCCGUAGCGAGCCUCAAAACCGCUACGACUUGUGAUUGCUUAGUGGCCUGGUGCACUUUCGUGUUGGCUGGUUAACAUCAAUUUCGAUCGUCAUAAAAAGGCUGGAGGGAUGUGGCUCCUCCGGGAGUGUUAUAACCUUUAGCGGAAUGUGGUGAUCGGGAUUGAGGUUUGCAACGAAUACCUUCAGGGCUGUUCCACCUGGCUUCUCAUCGGCAUCCUGGCGGCGACAGCUUGCUGACGUUGUUAGGAUCAGCCUUCGAACAGGCUAGAGUGUGAGCAAAUUCGUUAAGGAUGUUAACGUAAUGGCUUUAAACGACCCGUCUUGAAACACGGACCAAGGAGUCUAACAUGUAUGCGAGUGUU